rnacentral:rRNA from 1 species
GAUUAACGCUGGCGGCAUGCCUAAUACAUGCAAAUCGAACGAAGCCUUUUGGCUUAGUGGUGAACGGGUGAGUAACACGUAUCCAAUCUACCCUUGUCUUUGGGAUAAGCCUGGGAAACUGGGUCUAAUACCGGAUAUUCUGCUUUUGCCGCAUGGUGGGGGUUGGAAAGAUUUUUUGGAUGGGGAUGGGCUCACGGCCUAUCAGCUUGUUGGUGGGGUGAUGGCCUACCAAGGCGUCGACGGGUAGCCGGCCUGAGAGGGUGACCGGCCACAUUGGGACUGAGAUACGGCCCAG